UGUUGUUUGUGCUUAUACUUAAUUAGCGAAAUAUAACAACUACAGUAUACUAUUGGAUAGUGCUAACAUGCCCCAUAGUGCAUUUCGCGCUUAGAGGUCGACAGGAAAGUUUUUGACUUUACGUCAUUCGCGUCUUCAAUCUCAGGGAAGUCCCUUCGCGACGAUGAUGAAUUCUUGAGGUAUUUAAACGUUCUAUAAAAGGUAUUAUUCAUUAUAUAAACGUUCUCUGGUCUUCUGUGCUAACAGUAUAUAUUUUUUGGUGGUGAACUCAUCAAUUUACUGUUAUUGUUAACGUUAACUUUGUAACCAGCGGCCUCGUCGAUUCCCUACUGAGUGAACUUGAGCAUACAAAUAAGGUCAAACAAGUGAAGUAGCAGGUAUGAAACUUACUGUGG